rnacentral:misc_RNA from 1 species
UCCGGCUUAUCACCGGCAGUAUCGUCAGAGUUCCCAGCAUUACCUGGCCUUGACAUGCAAGUAGUAGAACCAUGAAAGUGGGACGAGCCCGCAAGGGCGGCUUGCACAGGUGCUGCAUGGCUGUCGUCAGCUCGUGUCGUGAGAUGUUGGGUUAAGUCCCGCAACGAGCGCAACCCUUGUGUCCUGUUGCCACCCUCUCGAGAGAGAGGAGCACUCUGGACAGACUGCCUCGCUUAAACGAGGAGGAAGGUGGGGAUGACGUUCCAGUAUCGAA